rnacentral:rRNA from 1 species
GUGGCGAACGGGUGAGUAACACGUGGGUGAUCUGCCCUGCACUUUGGGAUAAGCCUGGGAAACUGGGUCUAAUACCGAAUAGGACCACGCGCUUCAUGGUGUGUGGUGGAAAGCUUUUGCGGUGUGGGAUGGGCCCGCGGCCUAUCAGCUUGUUGGUGGGGUAAUGGCCUACCAAGGCGACGACGGGUAGCCGGCCUGAGAGGGUGACCGGCCACACUGGGACUGAGAUACGGCCCAGACUCCUACGGGAGGCAGCAGUGGGGAAUAUUGCACAAUGGGCGCAAGCCUGAUGCAGCGACGCCGCGUGAGGGAUGACGGCCUUCGGGUUGUAAACCUCUUUCACCAGGGACGAAGCGUAAGUGACGGUACCUGGAGAAGAAGCACCGGCCAACUACGUGCCAGCAGCCGCGGUAAUACGUAGGGUGCGAGCGUUGUCCGGAAUUACUGGGCGUAAAGAGCUCGUAGGUGGUUUGUCGCGUUGUUCGUGAAAACUCACAGCUUAACUGUGGGCGUGCGGGCGAUACGGGCAGACUAGAGUACUGCAGGGGAGACUGGAAUUCCUGGUGUAGCGGUGGAAUGCGCAGAUAUCAGGAGGAACACCGGUGGCGAAGGCGGGUCUCUGGGCAGUAACUGACGCUGAGGAGCGAAAGCGUGGGGAGCGAACAGGAUUAGAUACCCUGGUAGUCCACGCCGUAAACGGUGGGUACUAGGUGUGGG